rnacentral:misc_RNA from 1 species
GAUGAAGAACGUAGCGAAAUGCGAUACUUGGUGUGAAUUGCAGAAUCCCGUGAACCAUCAAGUUUUUGAACGCAAGUUGCGCCCGAAGCCAUUAGGCCGAGGGCACGCCUGCCUGGGUGUCACACAUUGUUGCCCCAAUGCCAAUCGCCUCACUUUGUAGGUAUUUGCUUGGGGUGAAUGUUGGCCUCCCGUGAGCUCUGUCUCACGGUUGGUUGAAAAUCGAGUGCAUGGUGUCGGGUGUACCAUGAUGGAUGGUGGUUGAGUGAUGCUCGAGGCCAAUCAUGGGUAACUCCACCAGAAUUGUGCUCGGUGACCCACAUCAAGUCAGGCGGGGCUACCCGCUGAGUUUAAGCAUAUCAAUAAGCGGAGGA